CAGCCGCCGCGGGAAUACGAAGGGUGCAAGCGUUACUCGGAAUUACUGGGCGUAAAGCGUGUGUAGGUGGUUGUUUAAGUCUGUUGUGAAAGCCCUGGGCUCAACCUGGGAAUUGCGAUGGAUACUGGGCGACUAGAGUGCGGUAGAGGAUAGUGGAAUUUCCGGUGUAGCAGUGAAAUGCGUAGAGAUCGGAAGGAACAUCUGUGGCGAAGGCGACUAUCUGGGCCAACACUGACACUGAGACACGAAAGCGUGGGGAGCAAACAGGAUUAGAUACCCGUGUAGUCCCUGUCUCUUAUAC
rnacentral:rRNA from 1 species